AGGCUGGCUCCGUAACCUCCAGCCCACGACUUCCCCCAUUCAGCACUUUAGUGCCUUCCUACAACCACUUUAACUCAAUAAUGAGCUGUCAGAGAGCUGAUAAGCUGGGUCAGGUGUGUUGGGAGCAAGGAAAACGUGCAGGGCAGUGGAGAUCCAGGACCAGGGUUAAGAAACACUUCUCUAGUCGAAGCUUGGCAUUGGUCAUGGAGAUAUACCAACGUGCAGAGCGCUCCAGUCCUGAUCAAACACCCAAUACAGGUAAUGUAGACCCUCAGAGGCAUCUGAAUUUUAGAGACUGGUGUGGGAACAAGAUCCUAAUGUGUGACUAUGACAUGGUAAGUCCUGGCCAUGCAUUAGUAUCUCGUUCGCACGCGUUAAAACAGUGUGACCACACUUUAUUUAUAUAGGAUCUCACCAGCAGGGCUCAGUGGUACUAUGUGUCUACACAUCCUUUAUAAUGAGCGAAUAUAGAAAUAAUGUGUGGCCAUGACUUAGUAAGCCAUAGCAGCGAGAUCCUAAUAGGUGGCCAUGACUUAAAAAGUUAAGUUGUGGCCACGCAUUAAUUUUGUUUAUACGAGAUGGAGCAGGGCUCCGUAUUCACAGGGUAUUUGUGAAACAGUGCUUCACAUCCGAGGCUAUUCUAAACCUCCGCUCUGUAGGUGGCAGUACUAGGCCAACUGGCGUUCAGUCCGCCUCUGAACCCAAAAGAAGCCGCAGUCGUGGCAGGACUGGUCCUCGAGCAGCGGUGUUAUUUAUUCACGCGCUUUGUUCUCCGCGCGCAGGAGCGAUGCUCAUUUGAACAUUUGCAGCUUUAACGGCUGCCGGCGGCUCCGUACACGCGCUGGCUCACUGUGUACAUCGCCUAAUAGUGUUCUUUGUUCCAACCUUCAUUUCUCUGCUGUGAUGACAUCAGAUUAUUGUUCCAUGGCUUUGUUCUGGAAAAUACAGUACCAGUCAAAAAUUCCUUACCCAUAAUCAAGUUAUUAUAGCUUAAACUAGAAACCUGCAUAUAAUCACUUAAUUUCAUUGUGUGUUUAAAUGAGCAGAUAAUAACAGAGUUAAAAAUUAAAUAUGGUAAAUUUCUCUGAAAGCAAGGGGAUUUCCCCUUGAAGCUCCAAAAAGAAACAGUGGCAUUUGCCUUUCUUAAAUCGUUUCCAAGUUAUCUGGCUGUUACUAUACAAGGUGAAGGUUCACUGCUAAAAAUAUCCACUGCAUAAACACACCACUGACAAUCCUGAAUGUGAAGGAAGAGAAAAUGGCAAAACAUGCUCAGUUAAGCCGUGAAAAAAGGGAGUCUAUAAUUAAGUUAAGAAAGGAAGGUCAGUCUUUAAGGAAAAUAGCAAAAACACUGCAAGUGUCUGUGAAUGCUGUAUCCAAGACUAUCAAACGAGUUGAAGAAACAGGUACUCAUGAGGACCGAGCAAGGUCAGGGAGGCCAAAAGUGACCUCAGAAUCAGAGAACAAGUUUAUUCGAGUCACAUAUGAGCAAAAUGGUGACUUGACUGCCCCUCAAAUACAAGCACAGUUAAAUGCAACUAGAAAAACAGAAGUUUCAAUAUCAACAAUCCAAAGAAGAUUGCGUGAAGCUGGUUUAUCUAGAGGGCAGAAGCCAAGAAAGACUUCUUCGGGUCAAAACAGUACAGAAGCUAGAAAGCGGAGGAGUGAAAAUUCCCAUUCUUAGCAAAUAUUUGGGUUUACCAUAUGCAGUACCUGUCAAACAUUUGGACUGAAGGAUUUAAAAAAAAAUAUUAGACAUUGAAAUAUGUAUGCUUAAAUUCUUGAAAUGUGUGUCAAAUAUUGGACUUGCCAAUAGUGUAAAGGAAUGUUAGAAGAAUCUAGCAUUUUUUUGGUUAUCGCAUAUUUCCAUAGAAAUUCAUAGUUUUGAUGAUUUCUAGUAAAAGUACUAGAACGUGUUUCUAAUAGGAAGUGUGUCCAAUCUAUUGACUUUUAUCCAUGUUUAGAAGACAUACAGAGGGUGUGGGUGAGCAUAAGUUUUCCAGGUGCGGUUCCCAGGCAGUGCUGUGGUCUACAGUUUGUUCACUGUUUAGAAUUGUUACUGUGGAGUUUUAUUCUACAGAAAGAUGAUCAUAUACCUCUCAUUUCUGCCAUUUCAUCAGGAAUGUGGUUUGCAGAGUUGUGGGUAAUUGUUUAUUCUUCAGCAUAACAGCCUGAAAGGCACCUUAAAACUGAGCAACAACUGGCCCACAAAGAAAGAAAGUGAAGAAUAACUCAAAGUAAUGACCUGACCUGCCUGCCUCCUAAUUUCAACACCAUAGCACUUGUAAAUUGAGUGCCUCAUGUAUCUGAAACUCUUAAGGCAAAGGAAUCAACUUAAUGACAGCUUUCAGUAUUUUGAACACUAUUUUGAGAAUGUGGAUACUGUAACGUGUUUUCACAUUUACCAAAAAUUACAUUUUUGAAAAACCUUACUAGUUUUCAGCAAGUGUACUUUUGACUGGCACUGUAGUUUGAACCCCUUUUGAGUUCAUGCUUUGGUCAGGCUAAUGGAAGCCUUUCUUUGGGGUCUGCUGCGUCAUAGAGACUGCACCAGUGAUUUCAAAGGAUGCUUUCGGAGGUUUGGACCCUAUGGAUAAAGAAUAAAGUGACCAGAGUGAAUAUAACUGAUUGGCCCCUGUGGUUCAUCCAGUUUUCUUAAGGAAUUCAAAGCCUCGUUCUUGGCACCACUUCAAACUGUCUACAUCGCUAGCCAUUCCAGUUUCUUCCUGUUCCUUGAACAAGCUAAGGAAGAUCGGAAAGCUGCCACAUGGUAUAGGCAGAAGCAAAGCAAGCAACUCUUCUCAGUGUGCACAAAUGUGAAGCCCAGGACUUCAUAUGGUUAUGAUAUAUGGUAGGACUUCAAGGCAUAUGAUUCUGACAGACUUACAGAAUGGACCAGAGAUAUGUUUAUUGGGCUUUGAAUGAUGAGCAUUGUUUGAAGCAUAUACUACAGAUUGAUUUUUAUAAUCUGUUUUUGCCUGUUGGUCUUUAUGUUCACAUUUUUUUGUGAAAUGCCAAAUACAUGCUUUCCAAAAAUGAA